rnacentral:lncRNA from 1 species
CAUGUCUGAAAGUAGUGAUGGACUGUCUGGCUCGCAUGAGGACCGCCACAGGAAAGGAAGUGUUAGGUGUGCCUAGGCUGAACUUAAUGUGGUUCUUACUGUUACUCAGAGCACAUAUUUCUAUCUUAAAGAUUUCUGGUCAGAUACACAAUAAAAACAAAUACACACAACGUACCUUGGACCAGUCAGAGACCUCCCACUGCGGCCUGCAGCCUUUGCAGCCACACACAGCUCGUCAUACAAUUAGCUGUGAAGCCUGGAGCCAUCAUCUUCCAGCAGCGCACUGUACGGAACUGGUAGCCCUCGCCGCACGUCCUCGAACACUUACCUCCACCGACUGGUCUCCCACCUACAACACAUGGAGAACAAGCCCGCCCAAGUGUAAUGGCUAGCUUAUUAAGGCCUUACCUCAGCGGGCUUACGCAGUCUUAUGGCAUGCAGGAUAACUAGGUUAAAACUCAUGUGGGUCACAAUAGUACAAGAGAAAAGUUAUUCUUUGUGGGAAGAUAAUGGCAGACACUAUCAAGGAGUCAAAGGAGCUACAAACCCAGUAUUAUUGAUUCACACUAGGGCUGUGGCAGUCAUGAAAAUAUGUCAGCCGAUGAUUGCAAAUAACUGCCGGUCACAUGCAUUAUUGGAUGACUCAUUCAUAUUCCAUUUACCCAGUUCAAAGUCACAGCGAUAGGUCAAGGCUACUACAUGAUACUCAAAUUUUGUCCUAUACCCAUCAUGAGGUUGCGACAACCUAGCCUAUGAAUGAAAGUUUUCAACGUAAGUGCACACAGGUCGAGAGACAAAUUUGAGGUGACAGAUAGUGACAUUCAAUACCGCCUUGCACACUGUUGCCUGCAUCUAGCUGAUAUAGGGUGUAAUCAUUAUCCCAACAGUUUCUAUUAGACAAAUUCGGGUAUGUUUUUCCCCAUUUUGUUCCGUCUGCUUUCUGUUUUUCAUCAGAAUCGGCGGAAUGAAUACGACUAGGUAAACGCUUGAGAAAGAACGGAAGAGGGAGAAAUAGAGACAGUGUCGUUCCUGAGACCGCACCCCUCCACCACAGGUCCUGGAGCAGGUGGACCAGCUGCUCCACUCCCCCCACCACUGGGCCACCUCGUCGGGCUGCUGCACUCCUGGUGCUUCUGGCUGUGCUGGCUCUGCCGAUCGACCUCCUCACUCCCAUCACUACUGUCCUGGCAGAGCUAGAGUAUUUUACAUGUGUAUUACACUGUAUGUACAGUAUGCAUAUGUGUGUCUUUUUCUUAUUCUCUCUCUGCCAUUAGGAUGGCAUAAGGGAGAGUUGUGUUGGGAAAAGCCAUGUAGCCCUAACAGUAGGGUUGCUGUGCAGACUGCAACUGGCAGCAGCAGCUGGCUGGACUGUUCCAUUAAACCCGAGGGGGUACGGAAAACUAAAAGACCGAAAAUCACUUUAGGUGGCAUUUGCACAAGAUUUCCCACUGUAAGUAUUCUGUCUGUGUGUGUGUAAGAGGCAGCAGCAAGCAACCCAGUGACAUGAUUGACUUUGCUAUGUUGCCUCUAUUCCUGAAGUGUUUCCUCCCUACAUGAACAAGCACACAGUGGGGAGUGUUUCCCUAAACACAUUAUCACCACUAAUGGUGCUGAGGCUCACUUUCCACCCGACGAAUCUGUUAACACGUGUUUAUCACUGACUGAAACAGAGUCCAAAAAUGGCUGCUGCUACCUCCUGGGGUGUACCUUAAAACCUAUAGACUUUCAGGGUUUACGCCAAUUAAUGAACAAUGGACAAUAUAUGGAGGUGUCAUACGUACUGGCAAUGUUUACUUGUGUGGCUACAGCACAAUGAAUCCAUUUGGGCUAAAUAUGGCAAUGUAAGUUGGUAGCUAUCCCCCUACUAAUUGUUGUUUCAUUUUGUGUUUCUUUUCUGCUACUGGCAAGGAGAGAUGGCCAGUCCCAUAUGGGCUACCACUACACAAUGUCUUCCUGUUGAUUCCUGUUCUCCUCUGUUUAGGCUACUCCCAGGGAGGACUUGCCCUACAGGCAAUGAUGAGUUAUUAUAUAAGAUUAGGCUUGCAUAUCUUCUUUUUGAUUUCAUUUUCUUUCUUUUUUCCUCAUUACCCUUACUCAUCAAGUCUGAUAACUUCAUUGUAAAGGUCUGGAUUGGUUAC